rnacentral:rRNA from 1 species
CUCAUGGUUUCACGGUAUUGCAAUGAGAACAAUUUAAAACCCUUAGCGAGAAUCAAGUGGAGGACAAGUCUGGUGCCAGCACCCGCGGUAAUUCCAGCUCCACUAGCGUAUAUUAAAGUUGUUGCAGUUAAAAAGCUCGUAGUUGAACCUCUGUCUGGGGCUAGUUUUGGCUUUGGUCAGGCUAGUUCUAGGCAUCCGCCUACAAGACUUAGAGGGCAUUCAGUUGUUCACUAGGAGGAGUAGGCAUUUUACUUUGAAAAAAUUAGAGUGUUUAAGGCAGGCAAUCGCCCGCAUAUAUUAGCAUGGAAUAAUAGAAUAGGACACUUUUCCAUUUCGUUGGUUAUUGGAAUCGUGUAAUGAUUAAUAGGGACAGUUGUGGGCAUUUGUAUUUAAUUGUCAGAGGUGAAAUUCUUGGAUUUAUUAAAGACAAACUAACGCGAAAGCAUUUGCCAAGGAUGUUUUCAUUAAUCAAGAACGAAAGUUAGGGGAUCAAAGACGAUCAGAUACCGUCCUAGUCUUAACUAUAAACUAUUCCGACUCAAUGUUUGACUGGCUUAUAUAACCAGUUGAGCGUUGUAUGAGAAAUCAAAGUCUUUAGGUUCUGGGGGGAGUAUGGUUGCAAAGCUGAAACUUAAAGGAAUUGACGGAAGAGCACAACCAGGAGUGGAUUCUGCGGCUUAAUUUGACUCAACACGGGGAAACUUACCAGGUUAAAACAAUAGUGGGAUUGACAGUUUGAGAGCGCUUUCUUGAUUGGUUGGGUGGUGGUGCAUGGCCGUUCUUAGUUGGUGGAGUGAUUUGUCUGCUUAAUUGCGUUAACGAACGAGACCUUAACCUGCUUACUAGACUGGCGAUCAUAAAUCGUUAGCUCUUCUUAGAGGGACUUUGGUUGUUUUAACUCCAAGGAAGUUUGAGGCAAUAACAGGUCUGUGAUGCCCUUAGAUAUCCUGGGCCGCACGCGUCAUACAAUGACUAGUUCAGAAAGUUUUCUCCUGACCCGAAAGGGGAUGGGUAAUCUUGAUAAUACUAGUCGUGUUAGGGAUCGAUCUUUGCAAUUAUAGAUCUUGAACGAGGAAUUCCUAGUAAGUGCGGUUCAUCAGACCGUACUGAUUACGUCCCUGCUCUUUGUACACACCGCCCGUCGCUUCUACCGAGUGGGUGGUCCGGUGAGAUAAUUGAACUUCGCAGGUAACUGAGAGGAAAGAUUAUCAAACCUAUCCACCU